UACAGAGGGGGCAAGCGUUGUUCGGAAUUACUGGGCGUAAAGGGCGCGUAGGCGGCCCGCUAAGUCGAACGUGAAAUCCCCGGGCUCAACCCGGGAACUGCGUCCGAUACUGGCAGGCUUGAAUUCGGGAGAGGGAUGCGGAAUUCCAGGUGUAGCGGUGAAAUGCGUAGAUAUCUGGAGGAACACCGGUGGUGUAGACGGCUCUCUGGACCGUAACUGACGCUGAGACACGAAAGCGUGGGUAGCAAACAGG
rnacentral:rRNA from 1 species